UGCGAGUUUAGGGGCUCCUUCGGGAGCACCGGCGGACUGCUCAGUAACACGUGGACAACCUACCCUCGGGUGGGGGAUAACCUCGGGAAACUGAGGCUAAUACCCCAUAGGCCUCGGAUACUGGAAGGUUCCGAGACCGAAAGCUCCGGCGCCCGAGGAUGGGUCUGCGGCCUAUCAGGUAGUUGGUGGUGUAAAGGACCACCAAGCCUACGACGGGUACGGGCCCUGAGAGGGGGAGCCCGGAGAUGGACUCUGAGACACGAGUCCAGGCCCUACGGGGCGCAGCAGGCGCGAAACCUUCGCAAUGCGCGAAAGCGCGACGAGGGGAGCCCGAGUGCCCUUCCUUUCGGGAGGGCUUUUCUGGAGCCUAAAAAGCUCCAGGAAUAAGGGCUGGGCAAGACGGGUGCCAGCCGCCGCGGUAAUACCCGCAGCUCGAGUGGUGGCCACUAUUAU
rnacentral:rRNA from 1 species